UACGGAGGAUGCGAGCGUUAUCCGGAUUUAUUGGGUUUAAAGGGUGCGCAGGCGGUCUGUUAAGUCAGCGGUCAAAGCCCGGGGCUCAACCCCGGCCCGCCGUUGAAACUGGCAGUCUCGAGUUGGAGAGAAGUAUGCGGAAUGCGCGGUGUAGCGGUGAAAUGCAUAGAUAUCGCGCAGAACUCCGAUUGCGAGGCAGCAUGCCGGCUCCACACUGACGCUGAGGCACGAAAGCGUGGGUAGUCGAACAGG
rnacentral:rRNA from 1 species